rnacentral:lncRNA from 1 species
UCAUCAGUUCAAUCGAUCUCAACACAAAUAUCAGAUCUAAUACUAAAGAAUAUAUAAUCAAUAUUUAAAAAGAAAACAUUUUUACAAACAAAUAACAAGUUGUAAGAACAUGAGAAAUGGAUGAUGAUUGAGACCCAUUUGCAGAUGAAACCGCAUAUCCAUGGAUGGUUUUGACAACCAUGAGAAAAUGAAGGAGAAUAUUGAAGGAAGAUUCAAAAUACCCACAAAUAAGUGAAAAACAGUGAAUAGUCUUUAUUGCAAGGUGCAGCUUCGUCUACGAGUUGUCUUCCUCAUUCAUCCGAGGAGUUGUCUGCUCCUUCAUCGUAAAGAGCCUUCUC